CCCUAACCACCUGAACCAAAGUGGCUGCUUAACUAAGCUCUAUAUCGCGUUUCAGGGUUUGUGCUCUGUAAUCAAUGGCGUUUGUUUUAUUUUGAUAUGUUGUUUUUUUGACUGGAAUUUAUUAAAACUCUGUUGGAGACACCCUGUCCUGCACAUUUUACUGGAUUUUCUGCAAACUCUGUCCUGAAACACCGUCAAAACUCAAGCCAGCAUCAGCUUUUUCAGCUUCUGGAGCAUCUCUCUGGGAUCAUCACAUCAUGCAGAGCAGCCUGUACUACACACACAUGCAUCAACAAGCCUUGGGUGCCCGUCACUGCACCGCUGAUUCGCUGGAAGUUGGGUUGUUUGUCUUGGGACCACCACUACUGCCUUUCCCCACUGUCAUAUCUGACAGGACCAUAGCGACAGAGGAUCUUGAG
rnacentral:lncRNA from 1 species